UAAAACCCUAAAUUAUGACGA
rnacentral:siRNA from 1 species